CUCUUAUCAAGAGUGGCUGAGGGAAUAGGCCCUGUGAAGCCCGGCAACCUUUCUAUUUUCGACGGAAAAGGUGCUACAUCCUACAGGCAAUACGUCUGAAAGAUAAGAG
rnacentral:ncRNA from 2 species